GAUGAAGAACGUAGCGAAAUGCGAUAAGUAAUGUGAAUUGCAGAAUUCAGUGAAUCAUCGAAUCUUUGAACGCAUCUUGCGCUCCUUGGUAUUCUGAGGAGCAUGCCUGUUUGAGUGUCAUUAAAUUCUCAACUACACUGACUUUGAAUUGGUGUGGCUUGGAUUUGGGGGGAAAAUUGUUGUGGGCUUUUUGUAUAGUCUGCUCCCCUGAAAUUGAUUAGCGGUACCUUUGUGGAACUGUCUACAGGUGUGAUAAUUAUCUACAUCUUAGACAUCUGCUGGAAUGCUGCUUUCUAAACCUUACUUGUAUUGACAAUCUUGACCUCAAAUCAGGUAGGACAACCCGCUGAACUUAAGCAUAUCAAUAAGCGGAGGA
rnacentral:misc_RNA from 1 species